rnacentral:rRNA from 1 species
AUACGUAGGUGGCGAGCGUUAUCCGGAAUUAUUGGGCGUAAAGGGAGCGUAGGCGGAUAUUUAAGUGGGAUGUGAAAUACCCGAGCUUAACUUGGGAGCUGCAUUCCAAACUGAAAGUCUAGAGUGCAGGAGAGGAGAAGGGAAUUCCUAGUGUAGCGGUGAAAUGCGUAGAGAUUAGGAAGAACACCAGUGGCGAAGGCGCUUCUCUGGACUGUAACUGACGCUGAGGCUCGAAAGCGUGGGGAGC